rnacentral:RNase_P_RNA from 1 species
UGAGUCGGUCGGGUGACCGCGGUCCGGCGCCUCCGGCGACCGGGUCGAGGAAAGUCGGGGCUCCGCAGAGCAGGGUGCUGGCGAGAGCCAGGUCGCGGCGACGUGACGGACAGUGCAACAGAGAGCAGACCGCCGAUGGGUCCCCACCGUGAGGUGAGGAUCACAGGUGAGGGUGAAACGGUGCGGUAAGAGCGCACCAGCGUGCGGAGCGAUCCGUGCGGCUCGGUCAACCCCACCCGGAGCAAGAUCGAACAGAGGGGAUGGGCGGCUCGUCCGCCCGGACCGGCCACGGCCGGUGCGGGCACCCCUCGGGUGGAUCGCACAGAUGGAUGGUCACCCGUGCCGGAGACGGCACGACAGAACCCCGCUUACAGACCGGCUCACCGU